ensembl:lncRNA
AGGACCUAGACCUAGUCACAGGUAGGACCUAGACCUAGUCACGGGUAGGAUCUAGACCUAGUCACAGGUAGGAUCUAGACCUAGUCACGGGUAGGACCUAGACCUAGUCACAGGUAGGACCUAGACCUAGGACCUUAAAUCUUCUUAAUUAAGCACAAACAGUGCAGCAGGGACAAUUAAAGUUUGUUGAUGUCAGUGCACAUUUGAUGACACGCAGCUGAUUCACUGAUUCAGUCUAACAACUUUUAUUUAAAAAAAAAAAAGUGGUUUGGGAGGCGAAAGAGUCGACUCUUAUUUAUGAGUCAAAUAAUUCACCGACUCGCUAAUAAAGAGCUGGAAUUCCCCUCACUAUUAGGUACAUCUCACACCUUUUACAUCAUCGCUCCCAUUCUCACCGUAAGAAAUAGAAAUGGAGAGAGGGAAGCCUGUGUGUGUGUGUGUGUUUGGUGCGCACUCAGAAUCAUCUCUUCCCCCGAAAUCCUGAAUUAGGCGCUGUGUGUGAGCGAGUGGUUAAUUUUUUAUCUGUCUCAGUGGACACUCGUCUGCCAAAUCUGAGAGAAGUGAAUCUCUCUUAUCUCCUCCAGCACGCUGUGUGAGCUCCACUUCAUUAUUCAGCUGGCAGCGCAUGACACAGAGUCACACACACACCCCGAACACACCCUAUACAUCCGAGACCACACACACACACACACACACGCGCGCACGCAGCAACUUAUCUUUCCGAACAGCAGCUCGGACAGUAGCGCAGCUGCAAAUCACAGCUUCAUAUUAUUUAUUCGAAUACUUCAUUGUUUCUAUAGUAACAGCACAGACUUGUGAAGCGUGCGCGCCACAUAAACGGAUUAAAAAGCAUGUUUUUAAUGUCUCCAGCGUCAGUGGUUUGCAUCAGUCAGAGGUAAAGCUGUAAGUUUAAGUUUUUCGAGGUACUUCAGGACAGAGGAGUGACAAACUGCUUGUUUUUGUCUUAUAACUUUAAGAGAGAGGAAAAAAGAGAGGGCUGGUGAGAGAGGAGCAUUUAUAGCUGCUAUAACGUAAGGGAGGAUAUGAACUACACCAGUACUGUCACUAUAAACAGAUGAAAAGCAUGACGUGUCAGUCUUUGAUAAAUACGACACUGUUACAACUGCUGUAGGAAAGUAAUCAGUGUAGUAACAGUGACUCCUCUUCAUCAUUUGAUUCUUUUCCACGACACUGAGUCGUUUAUUCUUUACAUAACACACUCACACUUUAACCUAGUUAUCAGGUUUUUAUUUUGAAAUGAAACUGGAAGCAGUGGUAGUGUACUCGGAGGCGUACUGCUCUAAGAGCGUGUCAGAUGGUCGUCUCGCUCUCUUUCUCUGAUUACUCUGUGUCGUUUUUAACCAGGGAAUGAAUUUGAGGCGCUUAAGCCGCAGUUAGUGAGUCAUACUGACUUAAAUUAUGAGAUAGGAAUUCUGAAUAUAUCAUGAAAAAGCGAAAGAAACAUUUGUAGAAAGUUAAGGAACUCUUAAAGAACUGUUGUUUUUCAUUAGAUACAAAAAUAGACGAUGUUAUACAGAAAGACAGUGAGACAGACAGGCAGACAGAUACAGAGACAGCAGCAGCAGUUACACAGACAGACAGACAGGAAGGGAGGGAGAUGGACAGACAGAGAGAGAGACACAGGGAGACAGAUAGGCAGACAGGGAGACAGACACACAGUUAGGGAGAGAGACAGGGAGACAGACAGACAAGUAAACAGACAGGAAGGCAGACAGACAGUGAGUCAGACAGACAGGAAGACAGAGAGACAGACAGGAAGCCAGGCACAAAGCCAGACAGGAAACCAGGUAGAGAGACAGACACGGAGACAGACAGACAGACAGGGAGACAGACAGAAAGACAUUCAGGAAGACAGACAACAGGUAAACAGAUAGGAAGGCGGACAGACAGUGAGUCAGACAGACAGGAAGACAGAGAGACAGACAGGAAGCCAGGUAGGGAGACAGACAGGGAGACAGACAGGGAGACAAACAGAAUGACAGACAGACAGUGAGUCAGACAGACAGGAAGCCAGGCACAAAGCCAGACAGGAAACCAGAUAGAGAGACAGACACGGAGACAGACAGACAGACAGGGAGACAGACAGAAAGACGUUCAGACAACAGGUAAACAGAUAGGAAAGCAGACAGACAGCGAGACAGAUAGACAGGAAGCCAAACAGACAGACAGGAAGCCAGACAUAAAGCCAGACAGAUAGCCAGGUAGGGAAACAGACAGAAAGACAGUCAGGACAGACAGACAGUGAGACAGACAGACAGGAAGACAGGGAGACAGACAGGAAGUCAGACAGGUAGACAGACUGUCUAGUUGUAGAGUAACUGUAUUUUCACUCUGCAGUAGAUCAGUGUGAAUAUGGAAUUAGAGUUGUAGUGUAAUGUGCUUUGUUGCCGGUGCGUAUGCAGCUGUUGUUUAUCAAUCACUACAAUAAAAAGCAGUGGAUUCAUACUUCUCUUUUCUCCACAAACAUACUAAAUACUUUAUAAACGCCAAGAGUGUAUGAGCGUGAUCUAAUUGAUCUGUAGUACUUAUAUACAGCAUAUGUUAAUUAGUCUUUAAUUCAUAUGAUCUAAAAGUUUAAAAAUGGCCCCAGAUUAUUCGCAUUGUUUAGGAGUGAGGGUGACCAGACGUCCCGCUUUGUGUCGUAAUGCACAGCUUUUCAAUCCUUUCUCCCACGCCCCCCAACUUGAGGCGAUGUCCCGCGUAUUGACUGGAAAUAAAGAGUCUAAACUACUCCGACGUGCGAAGGUCGUUUCAUAAACUUUUUUUUUUUUUUUUUACAGUGGCUGUAAAGAAAAUAUUGAAGCCUGUCAUUAAAGGGCUGUCAGCUGUCACUCAAACUGGACACACCUGAGGUCAAGCCACAGAAAUCCUUUUUUAUUCCACUUACUUUUUUUAAGCAUUAAUCUUUCUCUUUGUUGCAUCCUUUCAUACAAAAGACAUAAAUAUGAAUAAAUAUGAAUGUGCUGAGAGGACACGCUUCUUAUUCAUUUAGAUAGAUGGCCUUUGGGCGUCGGGAAUACGUCCCACGUUGUCCCACACGAACUUACUACUUGUCCCGCAUUUGUUCCGUUUGCAUCCGGUCACCCUAUGAGGACUGGCUCAGGCGUUUAGAGGACGAAUUAGACUCGCACAUCACGCCUCUAACGACUGCGUGUUUAACAGCACCACUAACACACAUAGAUUUUCCCAUUAACUUCUGAUUCAGGCCGCUGUAAUUUACAAGUGACUGAUACAGUGAAUACGUCGUAACUCAGCCGUGAAGCGUCUCCAUCACUCGUCCCGGUGCAGAGGUAGUGACACUCAUCACACAGGUCCAAUUCUUCUUAAUUAAAACGUAAUCAGACUUCUGACACAUUCAUUUAUGAUCUCCUGAGUGUGUGGAUGUUUCUGCACUCCUUCUUCCUGUUCUGUAUUUAUAGCUCCUGCACUUCGAUUCAUCACUGUGCGACGGUCACAUACGCACAUACGCGUCCCUCGGAACGAGCCGUCACUAUGGGAACAGUAACGUGUUAGGACGAGCGCACGGAUAUAGACCUGCGCUACUGUCCGAGCCGCUGUUCUAGAAAAUGAAUCAACACCUGACGACCAAUCGGGUUUGAGAAUUCAACAGCAUCAUGGGAUAUGAAUGCACAAUGUAAGCAAAUAUGUUUUGCACACUGGAUUUGGAAAUAAUAGGUUUGCGCUUCUUGGAUCUUGAGAAGAGUACGUGAGCAAAUUUAGAUGUGAAGAGUGAAAGUACUGUGUGUACGCUCUGAAACACUAGCCAAGGUUUCGUUUCUUCUCAGAGUAUACAUCGUGUAACCGUAACACUUUGUGUUGUUUUGUGCUCCUUGAACAUCCUGUCCGGAGACAUCUCCUUCCACCCUGCUCAAUAAUGCACGGCCUGCACGACUUAUUCAGGGCAGUGAGCCUUAAGGAAACACUUUAGCCCCAAACACUAAUGUUAUUAAUAAUGAAUGACAGCCAGUUGGGAACAGUUAGUGCUAUGCAAAUGAGAGAGGGCUAAUAGGCCAACCGCUGGGUUUCAAUCAUCGUUAACUCUGUUAGCAUUUUGGGGUGAACUUUUAAGGUUGAGGAAAUUCAUUAGCCCACUUUCGUACGUGUAUGUACAGAGCUGGCUUGGGGCUGCAGUUUGAGACGUAAAAGUGUUUCCUCAGAAGUGUCCUCACACCCGCUUUCAACAGAUUAAACACUGGGUACAAGGUGCUGCUGUGAGGAUGACACGUUCAACAUGGAAAAUCAGAAUGAAAUAAACUAAUGGUCCAGUCUGAUCUGGUACUGAUCCAGAGUCUCAUUCUGCUAUGCAGGUGGCAGCAGUGAUUGAUCAACAGGAAAGGAAAUGCAGGAAUGAAUGGUUUAUUUAUUUUAUUUUUAUUGCUUUAAACUUUAUUAAAUAUAAAACAGAGCUGAUAUAUUUAUUAACAUUUUGGGGCUGGUAUUGUGGGUGGGAACUGUGGUCUAACUGGUUGCAUUAUGCAUGGGAAGUGCAUUCUGACUGGUUAAAGUAACUGCUUUCUGAUUGGGUAUAAUGGCAUUACAACCAGGAAGUGUGUUCUGAUUGGUUACAGUGGCAUUAUAACCAGGAAGUGUGUUCUGAUUGGUUACACUGACGUUACAGGGAGGAAGUGUGAUCUGAUUGGUUACAGUGGCAUUACAACCAGGAAGUGUGUUCUGAUUGGUUACACUGACGUUACAGGGAGGAAGUGUGUUCUGAUUGGUUACAGUGGCAUUACAGGGAGGAAGUGUGAUCUGAUUGGUUACACUGACGUUACAGGGAGGAAGUGUGUUCUGAUUGGUUACACUGACGCUACAGGGAGGAAGUGUGUUCUGAUUGGUUACACUGACGUUACAGGGAGGAAGUGUGUUCUGAUUGGUUACAAUGACGUUACAGGGAGGAAGUGUGAUCUGAUUGGUUACACUGACGUUACAGGGAGGAAGUGUGUUCUGAUUGGUUACACUGACGUUACAGGGAGGAAUGUGCUCUGAUUGGUUACACUGACGUUACAGGGAGGAAGUGUGUUCUGAUUGGUUACACUGACGUUACAGGGAGGAAGUUUGAUCUGAUUGGUUACACUGACGUUACAGGGAGGAAGUGUGUUCUGAUUGGUUACACUGACGUUACAGGGAGGCUGUUUAUGAUGAACAGAGCAGUGAGUUCAUGAAUUAAUGAUCUAGAUCGAGCUGUCUUUAGCCGGAGUAAAGCAGUGGACAGGUGGAUUUGCAGGUUUUUCAGCUCCAUUCCGUCUCGGUGAGCAGCAGGAAAGCGCCACAGCUCUAUAAACAGGAUCAUUCUGACCCACAGCUGCACUUUCCCGUCCCUCAGAGCAUUCACGCCUCAGUUUUUAUCCUCUAAAGUGCAUUCUUGGCGCAGUUCACAUUAAUGAGACACGGCAUGUAUGGCCUGCAGCACAAUGCUCGACUUAGGGAGUUUUUCCUCGCCACCGUCACCACCGGUUCGCUCAAUAGGCAUAAAUUCACACUCCUAAAAUCUGUAUCCUGUGUAUAUAUGUUUCUGCAAAGCUGCUUUGAGACAACGUCCGUUGUUAAGAGACCUAAAGUGUGUUCGUGUGACCUUCGACCCUCCUGUGAGGAGAGCACUCGUGUUAAUCUGGUCUGAAGCCGCGUCCUCCGUGGCUUCUCCCUCGUCAGUUAUGCACACAUUAAUAUUUUAUGAGUGCAGCUGGAUAAUGCAGCACACGGCACGGCAUCAAAGCAGGACAUAAUGACACCGGAUUACAGACACAGAGACAGACAGGAAGAGACAGCGAUAGAUCGAGAGAUAGAAAGACACACUGGAAUGAAGAAUGAGCGCAUCUGAUUUAUAAAAAUGAUCCUGUGAAGAAACAUGUACGGUUGCCAGGUUUCAGCAAAAUAUCCCGCUACUACAUCCGAAAAAAAAAAAAAAAAAAAACUGUACAAGAAGACCUGAACCGAGCCCAAAGAUGCUGCUGCUGUAUGGCCAAACAGUGAAAAUGUAGUAGAGCUGGGCGAUAUAAUGACAUCAUACCUACAUCGUGAUCAAUUCUGACACAAUACACUUUUCAGAGAUAUCGCAGGUAUCGUGUUAUCUUUAUCAAACUUACUGUGUAGCAUCUUUAUAUAACUUAUUUUAUUAAGCUACAAUAUAGCUGAAGUGCACAACAACAGCGUUCCUCACCUGAUGUGCUUUUCCCUCAUGAAGCCUCAGCUUUCUUUACACUGUGACGUGAUUCACUGUAAUAUCAGCGCGGCCACUGCGACAGAAAUAGUUCUGCGGAUCGUACGUACACUUUCUGAUCUUACACGUUAGCUUCGUUUGCUGAAAAUGAUCAUUAAAAAAAGUUAUUCCUUUUUUUCCCCCCACCCUUUUUUUCCCUCACCAAUAGAGAACCACUGGUCCAUCCGUGGGUCCAGUUGGAUUGUUUUUGGUACCUGCUCAACACUGGGACCAACUGGACCUACAGGAAGAUUUCCACUGAGGUUCUGGAGUCUUAACUAAUCCUUACUAAAGGGUAAUUUUCUCGAGUUCCCCUUUAAGCAGCGCGCUGUGGAGCAUGUGAGCGCGCGUGCACGAGCAGGUUCGCGAGCACCUGCUUUUCCCUUGUGGACAAUCGUGACAUUUCGACACGUGCAUUUGUUAUGUUUCUGUCAUGUCUCCUCCCCGUUCUGUCAUUGGUGGUUGUUUCACGUGUGUCUGAAUCGCCCUGAGCCGUCAGCCAUUAAAACGCUGAUUAUGUUUGUAUAUACACCGCGCGCCCCCAACACACGGCGCAGGAUAUUGAGUCAGAUAGUAGAUUAGUUUAGAGUCCUUACGAUAGAGAACCACAGUCACAGUCCAUAGUUCCAUGUUUCGAGUCUUAGUCUUAGUCUUAGUCUUAGUUCAUAGUUCAUGUCAUGUUUAGGUUCGUUAGUUUAGUUCACGCUGCUUUCUCCGCUCCCAGUCCCUCGCUGUAGCUUAUGUUUCAUGUUUUGUAUCUCGACCCUGUUUUCCGUGACCGCGACCUUGAUUCCUGCCUCGCCCCGUGUACGCCUGUUUGCCGAUCGUCUGAACUUUGCCAGUUUUUGGAUUACGUUUACGGAUCACGUUUUGGAUUUUCCUGCCCGUGUCUCUCCUAAAUAAAACUGUUAUCCUGCACUUGCAUCCGUCCUAAUCUCCGUUACGUCACGAUACGUGACAGUAAUAGAACUAACUAGCUUCUACGAGAACCCUUUAUUUAAUAUUGUUCUAGAACCCCUUACUUAAGAUUGUUAUCGGACUUUUAGUUAAUAUAUUUCUAGAACCCCUUAGGUAAAAAUUGUUCAAAACCCCUUUAGUUAAGAUUGUUCUAGAACGCUUUAUUUCAUAUAUUUCUAGAACCCUUUAGUUAAGAAUGUUCUAGAACGUUUUAGUUAAUAUUGUUCUCGAACUUUUAGUUAAUAUAUUUCUGAGACCCAUUUAAAUUUUUUUCUAAACCCAUUUAGUUAAGAUUGUUCUAGAACCCUUUAAUUAAUAUGUUUCUAAACCCUUUAGUUAAGAUUGUCCUUUAGUUAAUAUAUUUCUAGAACCCUUUAGUUAAUUUUGUUCUAGAACC